AAACCUCAUUUUCGCAGCAAGUUUCAGCAUUGAGUCACCUUAGCAAAACGGAUGUAUGUCUCAAUCCAACCGUUGGAUCGUCGCGUGGUUUUGACACAACGUUCCUGACUCAUAGAGGUGUGUCUCCAAAUUAUGUUUGAAGGAUUUAUUUUGGAGAAAAGCUUAGAACUAUGGUGAAAGAGUUCAUAUUUGCCAAGGUACUCAAGUAUAACUGUGGAAGUUUGUAGAUUCAUCGUGUCUGGUUGGUGUGUCGCUCUGAUACGUAGCACUCGGGGGUUGUCUAUAUUGUUGUUUCUAUGUUGUUCAUGUUUUAGUUGUUGAGUUCCAAAUUGGAUAAUGAGAAGUACUAUGAUGUUUGAAGUUGUUUCCGAUUAAAUAAGAUGAUUUGUUUAUAAAUUCGAAUGUUAUGAUUCCGCUGCAUAUUAAAAUGAAGUUGGUUUGUCUAAGAGCUGUUAUAAGUUGUUUUGUGCUUCUCUGAGAUUAAAGUGCUAUGUAUCUGUUUAUGAGUUGUUUAUAGGAAGUAAAUGUGA